CGGCAACAGCUCAAAUUUGAAAUCUGGCCCCCUCGGGGCCCGAGUUGUAAUUUGCAGAGGGAGCUUUUGGCGUCGGUCGUGGUCUAAGUUCCUUGGAACAGGACGUCACAGAGGGUGAGAAUCCCGUACGUGGCCGCCGGCCUUCGCCUUGUAAAGCCCCUUCGAC
rnacentral:rRNA from 1 species